GUGCAGCUUUGUGUAGGACUCAAGCAUUUGGAUGGCUUUGAUCCUCCUUUUGCACAUAACGAUGCCAAAUCUGGUAAUGUCCUUUUAAUUCAUAGAAAAGAACAACCACCUCUUGCAGUACUUUAACGGACGCAGUACUUUAACGGACGUACGUCUGCAAAAAAGCGAAUACGCUCUCCUUCAAAGGCCUUGCAGUUGCAAGUAGUUGUCAUUUCUUUUUAAGUGUCCACAUACUUUGCUAUUUGCAUGCCUAUAAGCUUCUAAUGGAUUCCCUCUUUUGGACCUGUCCGGUCUGAAUGUUUUCACAAUUACUGCUGCUUUUAUAUGCAAGUCGCAAACAGUAGUUACUGCAUAUUGUGCUCUUUGUUAGCACCCAUUUCUUGCAUUUUACACCCUUAACCCGCUCUGUUGCACUUAUUCCUAAUUCCCUUCAUUUUCUGGUGUUGAUUAUGUAGGAAUUGACAUCUGAGCAUGUGCUAGCAACUUUCCGAAUGAGUUAUGGGAUUGCCAUGCCGAUGUGAUAUUGAUAUAAGCAUCAAAUAGCACGUCUGAAGGGCAUUUUAAUUGGUUUUGAGGUUGUCUCAGGGCUCCAUAUCAACUUGCAAAAAAACAAUGCUUUUCUAUUAAUGUUGACCACAAAGUCAAGAACUGGCUGACAUUUUGGGUUGCAAGAUUGUAAUACUGCCAACAACUUACUUGGGCCUACCUCUUGUUUCGAAAUAUAAUGAUUUUAAUUUAUGGAAGGGGGUUGUCUAAAAAUGUGAGGGGAAGCAGAGUACAUGGAAGAUACAAUAUAUUCCUUUGGUGGUAGAGUUAUGCUGGUUAUCAGUGUGCUGAUGGUAUACCGACGUAUCUGAUGUCUUUGAUUCUAGUGCCGGUGAAGGUAGAAAAGCAACUAAAUAAAAUCAGACAUAGUUUGAUAUGGCAAGGGAGUCAAGAAGGCAAGAAAAUGCAUUUGAUUAAAUGGGAGGAUGUGAUUCAAAGCAAGAAGAAUGGUGGUCUUGGUUUUAGAAAUUUACAAGCUCAUAAUAAUAAAAGCCUUUUAUUUAAAUGACUUUGGAGAUGACAGAAGGAACUCUAGAAUGAUGGUAAAUUUAAAUAUGGAUGACGUGUCUAUGGUUGCACUACCUAGAUUGUAUCUCCACUUGGUACCACAUUUUGAAAAUUUAUAAAUAGCAGAUGUGAUGAAUUUAUGGUGAUGAAUAGGUUGAAAAUUGGAGAUGUCAGUGUUAUCAAAUUCUGGGAAGACGAAGUGGAAUGGGGAGUGCAUGUUAGCAGAAUCUUUCUCUGAUUUAUACAGCCUUGUAGUGAACAAGAAUUGCUCCAUUGUUGAACACUCGGAUGGUAGUAGCUGGAACUUCCAGUUCAGAAGGAAUUUCUAUGAUUAAAUGCUGCAAAAGGUAUUGUGGUGGAUAGUUCGUGAAGAUAAUUCAAUUUUCUGGAUGGGAAAGAUGGAUGGAAUUUGCUCUGCACGCUCCUGUUAUGAUAUGUUGCUAAAGAAAUUGUCUAGAAAUGAUGAUGUGUGGCCUUGAGAGUUAUUUAGAAGAUCAAGGCUCCUAGCAAAGUUGAUUGCUUUGGGUGGAUUGAAAUACAUUAAAACACGUUUGAUGCGGAAAAUUGCAAAGGGGAUUUGAUCUUUGCAGCUGGUGCUAUUCUUGUAAGGAAAAUGUGGAGAUAGUGAAUCAUUUAUAGCAUUUCAAGUUUGGGCGACAAAUGUGAUGUAUGUUCUUGAACUUGUGUGGGAUUCACUGGUGAUUGUGCAAGGAAAACCCUCAUCGCAAAAUCAGAAGAAGACUUGGUUGUUUAUUAAUUUCCCUUUGCAUUAUGUAAACAGUAUAGUUGGAAGGAAAUGGUAGGUGUAGGUGCUUUGGAGGAAGUUAUUUUCCUAAUUCUAAUGCUGCACUACUAUCUUGGUACUGCCUAACGGGCUUUUUUAAAUAAGAAAUUACCUUUUACUGGUAACAAAA